GUGGGGAAUAUUGGACAAUGGGCGCAAGCCUGAUCCAGCCAUGCCGCGUGAGUGAUGAAGGCCCUAGGGUUGUAAAGCUCUUUCAGUGGGGACGAUAAUGACGGUACCCACAGAAGAAGCCCCGGCUAACUUCGUGCCAGCAGCCGCGGUAAUACGAAGGGGGCUAGCGUUGUUCGGAUUUACUGGGCGUAAAGCGCACGUAGGCGGAUCGUUAAGUCGAGGGUGAAAUCCUGGAGCUCAACUCCAGAACUGCCUUCGAUACUGGCGAUCUUGAGUCCGGAAGAGGUGAGUGGAACUCCUAGUGUAGAGGUGGAAUUCGUAGAUAUUAGGAAGAACACCAGUGGCGAAGGCGGCUCACUAGUCCGGUACUGACGCUGAGGUGCGAAAGCGUGGGGAGCAAACAGGAUUAGAAACCCCAGUAGUCC
rnacentral:rRNA from 1 species